UGUUAGGUUCUUCACAAGCAGAAUUGCUCAU
rnacentral:piRNA from 1 species